CUUGCUUCGUGGCGUGCUACCCUACUUCGGUAGGGUUUAGAGUCGUAGCACCUCUCGGAGAAGUGCUGUCCUGAACUCCACCCUUGAAUAAAUUACCUUUGUUGCUUUGGCGGGCCGCCUAGCGCCAGCGGCUUCGGCUGUUGAGUGCCCGCCAGAGGACCACAACUCUUGUUUUUAGUGAUGUCUGAGUACUAUAUAAUAGUUAAAACUUUCAACAACGGAUCUCUUGGUUCUGGCAUCGAUGAAGAACGCAGCGAAAUGCGAUAAGUAAUGUGAAUUGCAGAAUUCAGUGAAUCAUCGAAUCUUUGAACGCACAUUGCGCCCUCUGGUAUUCCGGGGGGCAUGCCUGUUCGAGCGUCAUUAUAACCACUCAAGCUCUCGCUUGGUAUUGGGGUUCGCGGUUUCGCGGCCCCUAAAAUCAGUGGCGGUGCCUGUCGGCUCUACGCGUAUUAAUACUCCUCGCGAUUGAGUCCGGUAGGUUUACUCGCCAGCAACCCCCCAAUUUUUACAGGUUGACCUCGGAUCAGGUAGGGAUACCCGCUGAACUUAAGCAUAUCAAUAA
rnacentral:misc_RNA from 1 species